UGUGCUUUGUUGUACUUUUCGAGUCUCAUAAAGGUUCUAAGUUUUUUCCUAACAUCGAAUUUUAAUAUUGCUUUUGUCAUUCAGGAUACAAUGUUUUAACUACAUAUACUUUAUGGGUAAUACUAUAAUUUUAUAUCUUUAAGACAUAUGUCAGAUGUGAGUGUACAACAAUAUGUAGAUUUAGGUUGAAGGUGUUAUAGAGAUUGUUGAGAGCAUCUUUAUGAUUUAGGAUUUCAUUCGGAUUUCAUUAGGGUUUAUUUAGGAUUAGAUUGGCAUUGACUUAAGAUUUCUUUAGGAUUUGUUUAGGACUUGGUUAGGAUUGGCUAAGAACUUCAUUAGGAGUUGGUUAGAAUUUGGUUUAAAAUUGGUUAGAAUUUAUUUAGAAUUUGAUUAGGAUUAGGUUAGGAUUGAUUUAGAGUUUCAUUAGAAUUUGGUUAGAAUUUUGUAAGGAUUUCAUUAGAAUUUGAUUAGGAUUGGUUAUGAUUUUUUUAGGAUUUGUUUAGGACUUCAUUAGGAUUUGAUUUGGAUUUUUGUAGGAUUUGGUUAGAGUUGGUUUAGGAUUUUAUUAAGAUUUAUUAAAGAUUAUAUUAAAAUUUGGUUAGGAUUCAAUUAGAGUUUUUAUUUUUAAUUUUUUUAAAAAAAAAUAGUAUAUAUAUUUCUUAAAGAUUAAUUUAUGAUUUUUUAGAUUUUUUUUUAAAAAAUUAAGACUAUUUUGGAAUUU
rnacentral:lncRNA from 1 species